rnacentral:misc_RNA from 1 species
UCUCUCUCUCUCUCUCUUAUUUUUUUUUUAUUUGCAAACGAUAUCCAUAUUAUUCAAAAUUGUCACUUCUCUUUGGAUAUAUUAUUCUUCUAAAAACAUUUAUCAGAUUUUUCAAUAGAGUCUGCAUAUAAAAUCAUUCUAGCUCAUCUUAACUGCUAACUUUUCAUGAGGUUGCAAUAUGAUGUGGAUGGUGGAGUUUGAAAAGGCUACUAUAUGAAUGUUUUCUUAUCUGAUUGGGAUUUUUAGUUGCAGUGUUGAAUGUCAAGUGAUAGUAAGUGCAACUCUGCAGUCAGAUCUCUUUUUUUGUCAGAAGACUGAUGCAUUCUCAGGAGAUAGGUAGUAAAUUGAUCUAAAAAUUGAAUUAUUCUUCAUGCUUUUGGUUGGUUAUAUUGUUUUAGAUUAUUGUUGAUGACUUUGGUUACUUUUAACAUUUUCUUAUCAUUAAUCUUAAUCAGGGCAUUUGAAAUUUUGGAAGAAAAAAGCUGUUGGCAUCGCGUUUGCAAAACAUUUUAGAUCCCAUCUUGGUUCCUUAGAAGGCUUAGCGGUCUUCUCUUCUUUCUUGCUUGAUUUAGUUUAUAUAAUGUAAUAUAAUUUUGGAUUGAUCAUUGCUGCAUUUUACCUUUUGAACCUUUGAUAUUUGAACUAUUAAUAUGUUAACAGUUUUAGUCAAUAUGCUGUGAAUUUCAUGCUGUUUCAUCCUCUUUAGAUUGUAGUUGAAUUAAAAAAGGACAUCAUUUUCAAAUACUCGUGUUUGAUAGUUUGGAUGUGGACCUGCCUUUUGGUUUGUAGUAUGCUAAUUAUUUCACUAAUAUUUUCUUAUAGAGGUAGCAUUUGAUUGGCUCUUUUGUGUUUAGUUGAUUCUCCUUUGUUACUUGUUAGUGCAGUCAUCAACUGUGACUUUCUUCCGCCAUGCAGGUUAGUGUGGAUGGUCUAGUUUGUUGCACAAUUUCCAAUGAUCAAUCUGUCAAGGUAUAUGAUGUUGUCAAUUAUGACAUGAUGGUCAUGAUUUGGCUACCAUUCAUCCCUGAUAGUAUUGAGUGGGUAUAUAAACAAGGCGAUGUUAGAGCUAGGCUUGCCAUCAGUGAUCUAAACUCCUCGUUUGUAUACAUAAUAUAUAUGAUGCAAGAGUGGGUUCAAAUGAACCUAUCAUCUCAAAAGAGAGAUGCUUGGGGCCAAUUAAAGUUAUGAAAUACAGCCCUGUAUUUGACACUAUGAUAUCUGCUGAUUCAAAGGGAAUCAUUGAAUAUUGGAGUCCUGCAACACUUCAGUUUCCAAAGAUUGAGUAUGUCUUUAUUCUUUCAUGCUCUUCUGUAGUUUUCUUUGAGUCCUAUGUGCCUAACAUCUUGCUUGGAGUAUUGUUGACUCUUUCCAUGUUGAGAACUUUAUUUUUAGGUGCAUGUAUGUGUUUUUUAGUUUCUUCUGAUUGCCAUGAAUGCCUAACAAUACUCUCAUUUAUCUGAUACAUACAGUGCAAGUUUUAGAUUGAAAAGUGACACCAAUCUAUUUGAAAUUGUGAAAUGCAAGACAAGCACUUCCACUAUUGAGGUAAUAUACUGGUGUGAACUAUGCUUGACACAGAUGCACCAUUAUCAAUACAUUUUUUUUUUGAAUGGCUUAAUCUUUUAAUUGGGUCAUUGUUAAAAGCUUGAUUUGAAAGACAGCAGGAAAAAAGAACCUUAUAAAUGUACUGCUCCUAAUUUUAGUUGGUUAAAAUUUUCAUAUUAGGGUCUCGUCCUUUACUUGGCAAAAGAAAAGAUGGUUAUUCAUAUAAAGACGUCCCGAAUUCUCAUUUUCCCACAUUAAUAGUGUUUAUUUUUCUUCCUUCCCUAUGGCUGAAUGCCUACGAUGGUAACAUCACACUUUGUGGCACGUAGUUGUAUAGAGUAUAGUGGCCUAUUUCAUUUCCACAUUGGCUUGGAUGACUGCUUAUUGCUUAAACAAUGACAAGAUUUGGUAGGAUAUUUUUAUUGGUGAUUAUAUGUUCACAAAUUUAGAAUGCGGCUGGCAAGUUACCAUGUUGCUUUUAAACUUCAGUGGUUUGCUAUGUAUUUCCCAUUUUGUUAUUCUAUAAAUGAAUUCCAUGUGUAUGAACAACUAAGUGGAUGUUCAUCUCUACACUUUAAGACAUGACAGCCCUUUCACGGUGUCAAUGGCCAAUGCUGGCCCUAACACCAAUGGCUCUCAGUUCUUUAUCACCACAGUGGCCACACCAUGGUUGGACAAUAAGCACACAGUUUUUGGUAGAGUUGUAAGGGGAAUGGAUGUUGUCCAGGUAACGUUGAAUCCUUUUUUAUCCUCCUACUAUCCACAAGUAAUCUUUCUUCUCUGCUCUUGCAUGGUUGUGUCAUUUGUGUGAGAGAGAGAAAGAGGAGGGAGUUGGAAAUCAUACGCAUGCAUCAUAUCUUAUGCGAGGUAACUCCAUGUGCAUGGUGUUACAUCACACUUAGUGUACGUCUCAAAUUGCACCUUUUUAAUAAGCUUUCAGGCAUAUAUGUAUUACAGAGCCUUGAUAAGUAGAUAAAAUAAGCACAUCCUUACUUCACCUGGUAUUAGACAUGUCUUAUUUUCCUGUAACUUAUUAAAUAUAUUAUUCUGCAUUUGGAAUUCACACACAACU